rnacentral:rRNA from 1 species
UGGUGACGAUAGCGAAGAGGUCACACCCGUUCCCAUUCCGAACACGGAAGUUAAGCUCUUCAGCGCCGAUGGUAGUUGGGGGUUUCCCCCUGUGAGAGUAGGACGUCGUCA